GUCUCAGUUCUUUGAUUGGUACCCAAUAGAUUGCGAAUGGUUCAGUAUAACAGUUAUGAUAUGAAUGAAAUUUAUUUUAUGUGGAUUACUGUGGGAAAUCUUCAGCUAAUACUUGAUGCACAGUAUAUAUAAAUAAAAAUAGGAUAUGUAUAUAGCUGUUAUUUAUUAUUAAAUUUUAAUGUACCGACAUUAUUGUGGAUUCCUAAUAAUUACGUACAGAUUACUUUACAAGUAGCAAUUCAUUUAAGUUUCUGACCUAUCAGUUAAUUGGUUGCAUCUGGAGCAAUUGAGGCAUUAACGGGUAACAGGAAAUUAGAGUUCUAUUCCGGAGAGGGAGUCUGAGAUAUAGCUACCACAUCUAAGGAAGGCAGCAGGCGCGUAAAUUACCCAAUUACGAUUAGUAGAGGUAAUGACAAGAAAUCACAAUAUUAUGCCUUCUGGCUAUAAUUGUAUUGACAACAAUAUAAAUAUUAUAUCUAUAAGCUAGU
rnacentral:rRNA from 1 species